CUUAGGCGUGUGACUGCGUACCUUUUGUAUAAUGGGUCAGCGACUUAUAUUCUGUAGCAAGGUUAACCGAAUAGGGGAGCCGAAGGGAAACCGAGUCUUAACUGGGCGUUAAGUUGCAGGGUAUAGACCCGAAACCCGGUGAUCUAGCCAUGGGCAGGUUGAAGGUUGGGUAACACUAACUGGAGGACCGAACCGACUAAUGUUGAAAAAUUAGCGGAUGACUUGUGGCUGGGGGUGAAAGGCCAAUCAAACCGGGAGAUAGCUGGUUCUCCCCGAAAGCUAUUUAGGUAGCGCCUCGUGAAUUCAUCUCCGGGGGUAGAGCACUGUUUCGGCAAGGGGGUCAUCCCGACUUACCAACCCGAUGCAAACUGCGAAUACCGGAGAAUGUUAUCACGGGAGACACACGGCGGGUGCUAACGUCCGUCGUGAAGAGGGAAACAACCCAGACCGCCAGCUAAGGUCCCAAAGUCAUGGUUAAGUGGGAAACGAUGUGGGAAGGCCCAGACAGCCAGGAUGUUGGCUUAGAAGCAGCCAUCAUUUAAAGAAAGCGUAAUAGCUCACUGGUCGAGUCGGCCUGCGCGGAAGAUGUAACGGGGCUAAACCAUGCACC
rnacentral:rRNA from 1 species